UACGUAGGGUGCGAGCGUUGUUCGGAUUCAUUGGGCGUAAAGGGUGUGUAGGCGGCGCGCUAAGUCGAGUGUGAAAUUUCGGAGCUUAACUCCGAAACUGCAUUCGAUACUGGCGUGCUUGAGGACUGGAGAGGAGACUGGAAUUCAUGGUGUAGCAGUGAAAUGCGUAGAGAUCAUGAGGAAGACCAGUGGCGAAGGCGGGUCUCUGGACAGUUCCUGACACUGAGACACGAAGGCCAGGGGAGCAAACGGG
rnacentral:rRNA from 1 species